AUUGAACGCUGGCGGCAUGCUUUACACAUGCAAGUCGAACGGCAGCGCGGGCUUUGGCUUGGCUGCGAGUGGGGAACGGGUGAGUAAUACAUCGGAACGUGCCCAGCAGGGGGGGAUAGCUCGGCGAAAGCCGGAUUAAUACUGCAGACGACCUGAGGGUGAAAGCGGGGGAGCUUCGGACCUCGCGCGAUUGGAGGGGCCGAUGGCAGAUUAGCUAGUUGGUGGGUUAAAGGCCUACCAAGGCGACGAUCGGUAGCUGGUCUGAGAGGACGACCAGCCACACUGGAACUGAGACACGGCCCAGACUCCUACGGGAGGCAGCAGUGGGGAAUUUUGGACAAUGGGCGAAAGCCUGAUCCAGCAAUGCCGCGUGUGUGAUGAAGGCCUUCGGGUUGUAAAGCACUUUUGGCGGGAACGAAAAGGACUGUGCCAAUACCACGGUUCGAUGACGGUACCCGCAGAAUAAGCACCGGCUAACUACGUG
rnacentral:rRNA from 1 species